CUACGGGUUGCUCCAGUGAGGAAUAUUGCACAAUGGGGGGAACCCUGAUGCAGCAACGCCGCGUGGAGGAUGACGCAUUUCGGUGUGUAAACUCCUUUUAUAUGUCAAGAAAAUGACGGUAGCAUAUGAAUAAGCACCGGCUAACUCCGUGCCAGCAGCCGCGUGUAAUACGGAGGGUGCAAGCGUUACUCGGAAUCACUGGGCGUAAAGGACGCGUAGGCGGGUUGGAAAGUCAGGUGUGAAAUCCUACAGCUUAACUGUAGAACUGCACUUGAAACUUCUAAUCUAGAGUAUGGGAGGGGGAGAUGGAAUUAGUGGUGUAGGGGUAAAAUCCGUAGAUAUCACUAGGAAUACCUAAAGCGAAGGCGAUCUCCUGGAACAUUACUGACGCUAAGGCGUGAAAGCGUGGGGAGCAAACAGGAUUAGAUACCCGGGUAGUC
rnacentral:rRNA from 1 species